AGGGAAGGCGGGGGGUAGGCCUAACACAUGCAAGUCGAACGGCAGCACAGUAAGAGCUUGCUCUUACGGGUGGCGAGUGGCGGACGGGUGAGGAAUACAUCGGACUCUACUUUUUCGUGGGGGAUAACGUAGGGAAACUUACGCUAAUACCGCAUACGACCUACGGGUGAAAGCAGGGGAUCUUCGGACCUUGCGCGAUUGAAUGAGCCGAUGUCGGAUUAGCUAGUUGGCGGGGUAAAGGCCCACCAAGGCGACGAUCCGUAGCUGGUCUGAGAGGAUGAUCAGCCACACUGGAACUGAGACACGGUCCAGACUCCUACGGGAGGCAGCAGUGGGGAAUAUUGGACAAUGGGCGCAAGCCUGAUCCAGCCAUACCGCGUGGGUGAAGAAGGCCUUCGGGUUGUAAAGCCCUUUUGUUGGGAAAGAAAAGCAGCAGGUUAAUACCCCGCUGUUCUGACGGUACCCAAAGAAUAAGCACCGGCUAACUUCGUG
rnacentral:rRNA from 1 species